GAUGAACGCUGGCGGCGUGCCUAAUACAUGCAAGUCGAGCGAACAGACGAGGAGCUUGCUCCUCUGACGUUAGCGGCGGACGGGUGAGUAACACGUGGAUAACCUACCUAUAAGACUGGGAUAACUUCGGGAAACCGGAGCUAAUACCGGAUAAUAUAUUAAACCGCAUGGUUCAAUAGUGAAAGACGGUUUUGCUGUCACUUAUAGAUGGAUCCGCGCCGCAUUAGCUAGUUGGUAAGGUAACGGCUUACCAAGGCAACGAUGCGUAGCCGACCUGAGAGGGUGAUCAGCCACACUGGAACUGAGACACGGUCCAGACUCCUACGGGAGGCAGCAGUAGGGAAUCUUCCGCAAUGGGCGAAAGCCUGACGGAGCAACGCCGCGUGCGUGAUGAAGGUCUUCGGAUCGUAAACCUCUGUUAUUAGGGACGAACAAAUGUGUAAGUAAAUAUGCACGUCUUGACGGUACCUAAUCAGAAAGCAACGGCUAACUACGUG
rnacentral:rRNA from 1 species